GUCACAGCCAGAAUUGAUGAACG
rnacentral:miRNA from 1 species